rnacentral:rRNA from 1 species
AUGACUAUCGAGACGCUGAAGGCGCGCAUCCUGCGCGUCCUCAGAUCGUCCCUCCCCGCUGCCCCUGCCGCCGCAUCGGCAUCCCUGCCGCCGUCGCCGACCAAGCCCGGCCGCGUCGUGCUCCACUCCACCGACGGACUAUCCGACGAUGCGUCCUUCUUCGACGCCCAGGAGACCCCCGCCAAGAUUAACCUCCCCGCUGAGCCCAUCGACGACGACUGGGAGCUCGUUGACCAGGACGGCUACGACCGGGACUCCCUUGCCUCGGGGCCGGCGCCAGCGUCUGAUCCCGACGGCAUGCUCCGGGAUUUCCCGGCCAGGUGCCCACCCGGCGGCGACGAAGCCGUGGUGCUCUAUACCACCACGCUCCGGGGCAUCCGCAAGACGUUCGAAGACUGUAACGACGUGCGCGCUCUGCUGGAUAACCUCGCCGUGGCGUUUCAGGAGCGCGACGUGUCCAUGGACCGGGGUCUCCGGGAGCAGCUCUGGGCUGCCACCGGCGAAAAGGCCGUGCCCCCGCGGCUCUUCGUCCGCGGCCACGACCUCGGGGGCGCCGCCCAGGUGCUCGCACUCCACGAGGACGGUCGCCUUACCUCCCUCAUCCAGCUGCCGUCACUUUCGCCCCCGGAGGCGGCGGUCAGCAGCAACAAGAAGAGGGAGAAGUGCGAGGCGUGCGGGGGGCUGAGGUUCGUGGUAUGCGGUGAGUGCGAUGGCAGCCGGAAGUUGUUCGACGGCGAGCGCGGUGGUGUCCGGUGCCACGGAUGCAACGAGAACGGACUCGUCAUGUGCACACUUUGCUUGUACCCGAGCUGA